rnacentral:lncRNA from 1 species
GGGCUUUAACCUAGGGGCAUUUACCACUGGGCAAUAUUCCCAACCCUUUUCAUUUUGUUUCAGGGUCUCACUAAGUUGCUGAGGCUGGUUUCAAACCUGUGAUCCUCCUACCUCAGCUUCCUGAAUAGCUGGGAUUACAGGUGUGCUCCACCACAUCAGGAGAACCAUCAGUUUUUAUCCUUAUUACGAUUUUAAAUAGUGGAAGUGGAGGAAAAGAUUAUGCUUUUUUUUUUUUUAGCAUUUUCUUCUUUUUUAAUUAAUUUUUUAAAAUUUAUAUGACAGCAUAAUGCAUUACAAUUCUUAUUACACAUAGAGCACAGGUUUUCAUAUCUCUGGUUCUAUACAAAGUAUAUUCACACCAAUUCAUGUCUUCAUACAUGUAUUUUGGAUAAUAAUGUUCAUCACAUUCCACUAUCAUUUCUAACCCCAUGUCCCUACCAUACAUUCCCUUUCCACCCCUCUGCCCUAUUUAGAGUUCAUCUAUUCCUCCAGUGCUCCCCCUCCCUACCCCACUAUGAAUCAGCCUUCUUAUAUCAGAGAAAACAUUCAGCAUUUGGUUGUUUUGGGAUUGGCUGACUUCACUUAACAUUAUCUUCUCUAACUCCAUCCAUUUACCUGCAAAUGCCAUGAUUUUAUUCUCUCUUAUUGCUGAGUAAUAUUCCAUUGUGUUUACAUGGUAUAUAUGCCACAUUUUUUUUUUAUCCAUCCAUUCAUCUAUUGAAGGGCAUGG